CUUCUCUGUUGUCUGUCGCUUGGGCCGGCUCGGCUGCUGUCGCUCUUCUUCUUUCCUUUUUUUUUCCUCUGCCGGUGUCACUCUUCUAAGUCUUCUUGGAGAAUCGAGAUCUUGUCUUCAUUUCUUUUUUAAAAUCUGAUGAUUUCUGAAGCAGACGGAGCAAAGUAAGCACCGAAGCAAGCGGAGCAAAGAUGGAGAACACCGUUAAUGAGACUCAUACACCUUGUCCUAUUAUGGAAAAUGUUACCGAGUCACAUGACAAACCUGGAGCACCAUCUACAACUGUUGGAACCCCCUUGUCUUCCUCGCAAACAC